GGAACUGUGAGACAGGUGCUGCAUGGCUGUCGUCAGCUCGUGUUGUGAAAUGUUGGGUUAAGUCCCGCAACGAGCGCAACCCUUAUCCUUUGUUGCCAGCGGUCCGGCCGGGAACUCAAAGGAGACUGCCAGUGAUAAACUGGAGGAAGGUGGGGAUGACGUCAAGUCAUCAUGGCCCUUACGACCAGGGCUACACACGUGCUACAA
rnacentral:rRNA from 1 species